GACGAACCGUGCGAACGUUGUUCGGAUUCACUGGGCUUAAAGGGCGCGUAGGCGGGCGGUCAAGUCAGGGGUGAAAUCUUUCGGCCUAACCGGAAAAGGGCCUCUGAUACUGGCCGUCUCGAGGGAGGUAGGGGCAUGCGGAACUUCCGGUGGAGCGGUGAAAUGCGUAGAUAUCGGAAGGAACGCCGGUGGCGAAAGCGGCGUGCUGGACCUCUUCUGACGCUGGGGCGCGAAAGCCAGGGGAGCGAACGGG
rnacentral:rRNA from 1 species